AUUAAGCCAUGCAAGUCUAAGUUUAAGCACAUAAACGGCGAAACUGCGAAUGGCUCAUUAAAUCAGUUAUCGUUUAUUUGAUAGUACCUACUACAUGGAUAACCGUGGUAAUUCUAGAGCUAAUACAUGCUAAAAAUCCCGACUUCGGAAGGGAUGUAUUUAUUAGAUUAAAAACCAAUGCCCUUCGGGGCUCACUGGUGAUUCAUAAUAACUUCUCGAAUCGCAUGGCCUUGCGCUGGCGAUGGUUCAUUCAAAUUUCUGCCCUAUCAACUUUCGACGGCUGGGUCUUGGCCAGCCAUGGUGACAACGGGUAACGGAGGGUUAGGGCUCGACCCCGGAGAAGGAGCCUGAGAAACGGCUACUACAUCCAAGGAAGGCAGCAGGCGCGCAAAUUACCCAAUCCCGAUACGGGGAGGUAGUGACAAUAAAUACUGAUACAGGGCUCUUUUGGGUCUUGUAAUUGGAAUGAGUACAAUUUAAAUCCCUUAACGAGGAACAAUUGGAGGGCAAGUCUGGUGCCAGCAGCCGCGGUAAUUCCAGCUCCAAUAGCGUAUAUUAAAGUUGUUGCAGUUAAAAAGCUCGUAGUUGAACCUUGGGCCUGGCUGGCCGGUCCGCCUCACCGCGUGCACUGGUCCGGCCGGGCCUUUCCCUCUGGGGAGCCGCAUGCCCUUCACUGGGUGUGUCGGGGAACCAGGACUUUUACUGUGAAAAAAUUAGAGUGUUCAAAGCAGGCCUAUGCUCGAAUACAUUAGCAUGGAAUAAUAGAAUAGGACGUGUGGUUCUAUUUUGUUGGUUUCUAGGACCGCCGUAAUGAUUAAUAGGGACAGUCGGGGGCAUCAGUAUUCAAUUGUCAGAGGUGAAAUUCUUGGAUUUAUUGAAGACUAACUACUGCGAAAGCAUUUGCCAAGGAUGUUUUCAUUAAUCAGGAACGAAAGUUAGGGGAUCGAAGACGAUCAGAUACCGUCGUAGUCUUAACCAUAAACUAUGCCGACUAGGGAUCGGGCGGUGUUAUUUUUUGACCCGCUCGGCACCUUACACGAAAGUAAAGUUUUUGGGUUCUGGGGGGAGUAUGGUCGCAAGGCUGAAC
rnacentral:rRNA from 1 species